rnacentral:rRNA from 1 species
UACGAAGGGGGCUAGCGUUGCUCGGAAUCACUGGGCGUAAAGGGUGCGUAGGCGGAUUGUUAAGUCGGGGGUGAAAUCCUGGAGCUCAACUCCAGAACUGCCUUCGAUACUGGCGAUCUUGAGUCCGGGAGAGGUGAGUGGAACUCCGAGUGUAGAGGUGAAAUUCGUAGAUAUUCGGAAGAACACCAGUGGCGAAGGCGGCUCACUGGCCCGGUACUGACGCUGAGGUGCGAAAGCGUGGGGGAGCAAACAGG